rnacentral:rRNA from 1 species
CACGUAGGGCGCAAGCGUUGUCCGGAAUUAUUGGGCGUAAAGAGCUCGUAGGCGGCUGUUCGCGUCGGAUGUGAAAGCUCAGGGCUCAACCCUGAGAGGCCAUUCGAUACGGGACAGCUAGAGGUAGGUAGGGGAGAUCGGAAUUCCUGGUGUAGCGGUGAAAUGCGCAGAUAUCCGGAGGAACACCAGUGGCGAAGGCGACUUUCUGGCCUGUUCUUGACGCUGAGGCGCGAAAGCUAGGGGAGCAAACGGG